rnacentral:rRNA from 1 species
CUCCGUUAAUGAUUUUAGGUGCUUGCACUUGAAAGAUUUAACAUUGAGACGAGUGGCGAACUGGUGAGUAACACGUGGGUAACCUGCCCUUGAAGUAGGGGAUAACACUUGGAAACAGGUGCUAAUACCGUAUAACAACCAAAACCACCUGGUUUUGGUUUAAAAGACGGCUUCGGCUGUCACUUUAGGAUGGACCCGCGGCGUAUUAGCUUGUUGGUAAGGUAACGGCCUACCAAGGCGAUGAUACGUAGCCGACCUGAGAGGGUAAUCGGCCACAUUGGGACUGAGACACGGCCCAAACUCCUACGGGAGGCAGCAGUAGGGAAUCUUCCACAAUGGACGAAAGUCUGAUGGAGCAACGCCGCGUGAGUGAUGAAGGGUUUCGGCUCGUAAAACUCUGUUGUUGGAGAAGAACAGGUGUCAGAGUAACUGUUGACAUCUUGACGGUAUCCAACCAGAAAGCCACGGCUAACUACGUGCCAGCAGCCGCGGUAAUACGUAGGUGGCAAGCGUUGUCCGGAUUUAUUGGGCGUAAAGCGAGCGCAGGCGGUUUUUUAGGUCUGAUGUGAAAGCCUUCGGCUUAACCGGAGAAGUGCAUCGGAAACCGGGAGACUUGAGUGCAGAAGAGGACAGUGGAACUCCAUGUGUAGCGGUG